UAAGCACCGGCUAACUACGUGCCAGCAGCCGCGGUAAUACGUAGGUGCAAGCGUUAAUCGGAAUUACUGGGCGUAAAGCGUGCGCAGGCGGUUCAAAAAGAAAGAUGUGAAAUCCCAGAGCUUAACUUUUGGAACUGCAUUUUUAACUACCGAGCUAGAGUGUGUCAGAGGGAGGUAAUCUCCGCGUGUAGCAGUGAAAUGCGUAGAUGCGGAGGAACACCGAUGGCGAAGGCAGCCUCCUGGGAUAACACUGACGCUCAUGCACGAAAGCGUGGGGAGCAAACAGGAUUAGAUACCCUGUAGUCCACGCCCUAAACGAUGUCAACUAGCUGUUGGGGCCUUCGGGCUUCGGUAGCGCAGCUAACGCGUGAAGUUGACCGCCUGGGAGUACGGUCGCAAGAUUAAAACUCAAAGGAAUUGACGGGGACCCGCACAAGCGGUGGAUGAUGUGGAUUAAUUCGAUGCAACGCGAAAACCUUACCUUACCCUUGACAUGUCUGGAAUCCCGAAGAGAUUUGGGAGUGCUCGCAAGAGAACCGGAACACAGGUGCUGCAUGGCUGUCGUCAGCUCGUGUCGUGAGAUGUUGGGUUAAGUCCCGCAACGAGCGCAACCUUGUCAUUAGUUGCUACGAAAGGGCACUCUAAUGAGACCGUUUGCGACAAACCGGAGUGAAGGUGGGGAUGACGUCAGUCCUCAUGGCCCUUAUGGGUAGGGCUUACACGUCAUACAAUGGUCGGGACAGGAGGGUCGCCAACCCGCGAGGGGGAGCCAAUCCCAGAAACCUGAUCGAACCGGAUCGCAGUCUGCAACCUCGACUGCGUGAAGUCGGAAUCGCUAGUAAUCGCGGAUCAGCAUGUCGCGGUGAAUACGUUCCCGGGUCUUGUACACACCUCGCCCGUCACACCAUGGGAGUGGGUUUUACCAGAAGUAGUUAGCCUAACCGUAAGGAGGGCGAUUACCACGGUAGGAUUCAUGACUGGGGUGAAGUCGUAACAAGGUAA
rnacentral:misc_RNA from 1 species